CCCUGACUAAUUGUUCCACAUGGAACAUUAGACACUAGCCAAGACAGGAGAAUCACAUG
rnacentral:ncRNA from 1 species